rnacentral:rRNA from 1 species
UACGAAGGGGGCUAGCGUUGCUCGGAAUCACUGGGCGUAAAGGGCGCGUAGGCGGCGUUUUAAGUCGGGGGUGAAAGCCUGUGGCUCAACCACAGAAUGGCCUUCGAUACUGGGACGCUUGAGUAUGGUAGAGGUUGGUGGAACUGCGAGUGUAGAGGUGAAAUUCGUAGAUAUUCGCAAGAACACCAGUGGCGAAGGCGGUUCACUGGCCCGAUACUGACGCUGAGGUGCGAAAGCGUGGGGAGCAAACAGG